rnacentral:rRNA from 1 species
UGCCAUUGAGGCGGGAAAGCGUGGGGAGCAAACAGGAUUAGAUACCUUGGUAGUCCACGCCGUAAACGAUGAGUGCUAAGUGUUAGAGGGUUUCCGCCCUUUAGUGCUGAAGUUAACCCAUUAAGCACUCCGCCUGGGGAGUACGGCCGCAAGGCUGAAACUCAAAGGAAUUGACGGGGGCCCGCCCAAGCGGUGGAGCAUGUGGUUUAAUUCGAAGCAACGCGAAGACCCUUACCAGGUCUUGACAUCCUCUGACAACCCUAGAGAUAGGGCUUUUCCUUCGGGAGCAGAGUGACAGGUGGUGCAUGGUGGUCGUCAGUUCGUGUCGUGAGAUGUUGGGUUAAGUCCCGCAACGAGCGCAACCCUUGAUUUUAGUUGCCAUCAUUAAGUUGGGCACUUUAAGGUGUCUCCCGGUGACAAACCGGAGGAAGGUGGGGAUGACGUCAAAUCAUCAUGCCCCUUAUGACCUGGGCUCCCCCCGUGUUCCAAUGGCCGGUACAAAGAGCUGCAAGACCGCGAGGGGGAGCUAAUCUCAUAAACCCGUUCUCAGUUCGGAUUGUAGGCUGCAACUCGCCUCCAUGAAGCUGGAAUCGUUAGUAAUCGCGGAUCAGCAUGCCCCGGUGAAUACGUUCCCGGCCCUUGUACACACCGCCCGUCACACCACGAGAGUUUGUACCACCCGAAGUCGGUGGGGUAACCUUUUGGAGCCAGCCGCCUAAG